AUUGAACGCUGGCGGCAGGCCUAACACAUGCAAGUCGAACGAGUGGCGGACGGGUGAGUAAUGUCUGGGAAACUGCCCGAUGGAGGGGGAUAACUACUGGAAACGGUAGCUAAUACCGCAUACCAUCGGGUGUGCCCAGAUGGGAUAAGAUAGUCGGUGGGGUAACGGCUCACCUAGGCGACUAUCCCUAGCUGGUCUGAGAGGAGGACCAGCCACACGGGAACUGAGACACGGUCCAGACGCCUACGGGAGGCAGCAGUGGGGAAUAUUGCACAAUGGGCGCAAGCCUGAUGCAGCCAUGCCGCGUGUAUGAAGAAGGCCUGCGGGUUGUAAAGUACUGUCAGCGAGGAGGCGUUACUCGCAGAAGAAGCACCGGCUAACUCCGUGCCAGCAGCCGCGGUAAUUC
rnacentral:rRNA from 1 species